UCUCUCUCUUUCCGUCUGUCCCUCCCGCACCAACAUAUCAAUACGUAUUUUACCAUCUGUCACCUUCAUCCUUGUUGAGGGAUUUGAAACUGCUGAGUCUAAUCCCCAGCCCUCGUCUUAGUGAGGUAGGUGCAUCAUAAGCAACCUGGCAUUUACUGCCUUCGCACCACACACACCCUUGUGGCUGGUGGCCUACUGAAUGCCGAGGGGGCACAAGCAUGGUGUAGGUGCGGAGACAAAAAGCCAAGAAUCUCCAUUUUGUGCGUGCAUCUUGUCUUCAUCUUUGAUUAAUCUUCUUGGAGAUAACUGAGGAAAACUUUAAUUUACUGCAUCAAACCACAAUAAAAUGGCUGACACAGAUGAAGCAGAGGGUGGCCAAGACCUGGAGGCUCCAGAGGAAGAGCUGGAUGAACAUGCUGCCUUGUUACAUUUGGGUAAAUACGGCGAAGCCCGGCGUGCGCUACCUUGGGAGCAGUGGACCUUCAGAGAAAGGGCAAACUUUUAUAUGGACCGCAUCUUCCUCGGCUUAUUGGUCAUUUUUCUCGUCAUGACUCUGGGAGAAUGUAGCUAUAAAGUGUGGUAUGUGACAAACGUGAAGAAGAUUGCAGUGUCUGUGGUAGAUUCAGUGGUCUCUCUGUUUGACUGGCUCCUCACCCAGGAGAGACAGGAGGAGCUGUUUGAACUGUAGGUUGUCAACAAACCACUCGAUUGUAUUCUCACUUUUUUGUGUUUCUACAGUGUUAUACACAGAUGUAAUAUUACAAAAAAAUCGGUAAAGAAUAAAUUUAUAGCUACAUCUUAACUUACAAUGACUAAUGGAUGAUUUCUGAAUAAUGCAUUGGAUGGAGAUUUAAUGGAAAUAAAUAAUUUAUGCAAUUAA